rnacentral:misc_RNA from 1 species
GAUGAAGAACGCAGCGAAAUGCGAUAAGUAGUGUGAAUUGCAGAAUUCAGUGAAUCAUCGAAUCUUUGAACGCACAUUGCGCCCUUUGGUCUUCCAUGGGGCAUGCCUGUUCGAGCGUCAUUACAACCCUCAGGCCCCCGGGCCUGGCGUUGGGGAUCGGCGGAAGCCCCCUGCGGGCACAACGCCGUCCCCCAAAUACAGUGGCGGUCCCGCCGCAGCUUCCAUUGCGUAGUAGCUAACACCUCGCAACUGGAGAGCGGCGCGGCCACGCCGUAAAACACCCAACUUCUGAAUGUUGACCUCGAAUCAGGUAGGAAUACCCGCUGAACUUAAGCAUAUCAAUAAGCGGAGGA